rnacentral:lncRNA from 1 species
GGGAGAUGGCCCACAUGUUCACCAUCGCGGUGGUGCCCGCGGGCACGAGGGCCCCGCCGACGAUCGCGUCCGAUGUGGCCAUGCGGGCCCACGACAUCAGCGGGCCCGGCGGGUGCAUCCGCAGCGUCUCCUUGAUAACCCCCUGCAGGUACAGCAGUGGCCCCGACUCGUCGGUUCCCGUCACCGCCCGGUCUCUGCCCACGACGACGUCCAGCUCCUCGUGCACCCUCGCCUGCACGUCCUUGUGCAUCACUAGCCUCGCGAGCACCCACUCCACCAGCACCGCGACGGUGUCCGUACCCCGAAAUAUCAUCUCCUACACAAUUUUCCACAUCAUUAACUCCACCAAAUCACUCUUCACAAUAAUUCCUCCGUAAUAAUUCUAAUUAUAAGAGCUAAGAAUUACCCAAAGGACGGCGAUUAUGUCGGGAUCGGAUAACCUAUCGGGGCCCUGCAGGGACAGCAGAACGUCGACAAAGUCCCGCGGAGCCGCCUCCGGGUCGCGCGCCCGCCGUGCUCGGUGCUCCUCGAUGAUGCCGGUGACGAACCGGUCGACCCGGCGGACGAGGGCGGAGCAGCGAUGCCGGAUUCGCUGCAGGUCCAGG